GAUACGAGGCAAAAUGGGCGAAACAAUUGGAUGCUAAUAAAAUACUUAUAUUCCUGUGAUUUCAUGUACCAAAUUGAACUUCGUAUCAAGUAUGCAUACUGUCAGUCAUUCCAAAAAGUUGACUUAAUAGCACUCAGUCACUUUCCAUCCAAUAGACCCAUCAUGUUGUCAAAAGCCUAAAACUCAUGUGUGAAGCUCACAUAUCGUGGAAUACAAAUGUGCGGAGACAAGGUAUUUCCCCAUUACUGCUACCACACCAACCACACCACGUCAAAUGCCUUACUCACUUCAGCACCAUUCACCCAUAUGAUAAAGCAUCAGGAAAUUUACCGCAACCUGAGGAGUAAGGCUGUUGGUUGCUGUGAUUUCCAUUUUUGCGGUAUUUCAUCAUGAAAACUUCAGUGUGCUUGUUAGUAUAGAGCAUGUAAUAGAUCCUUAAGCCAAUGCUGACCUUUGUCCAUGAAGGAAGAGGGACAUCCAGCAACGUUCUGCUCCAUCCUUAUCUUCCUGACGUACACUCAUCUAGCUUCACUGCUUUUGCUGCUACAACUUCACCGACGAGUGUCUUACUUCACCGACGAGUUGGAACACUUCAGUGGUCGCUACCCUUUGCUGAUACACACCUACAGUUACUCACCACGGGAUUAUGCCCAGGUAAUGCAGAAGAGACGUCGAGAAGAUGCACACCAAAACAUCGCCGGUAUCUCCAAAUUGUCA
rnacentral:lncRNA from 1 species